GGGUGCGAUCAUACCAACGUUAAUGCACCAAAUCCCAUAAGAAGUCCGCAGUUAAGCGCGCUUAGGAUAAAGUUGCACCCU
rnacentral:rRNA from 1 species